GAGGUUAGAAGGUUUGGCCACUGAGUGAGCAGGGGCUCUAGAUCCUACCAUUGAGAAAUCUGGAGUUUGUCCAGUAAAGGACAUGUGUUGUGAAGGACAUUACUGAACAAAUUGUGUCAACAACAGCCUCUGCCUGGAAUGACUGGUGCAACAACAACAACUAGCAAAUCCAACCAAAGCUCAGUUCCCAGGAGGACAGUUAAAAAUAUCAUAAAUAUAAGAUGAAGGAAAUUCUCUUCUCUAAAUGCCCUGCAAAUUGAAGUUCAUUCGGAUGAAGUACGUCUGCAUUAGUCCAACCCUAGCAUCCCUGAUAUCCUGGUCUGCUUUAAUGGUGAUUCUGCAGGUCCUCAUGCACACCUGCCAUCUACACUUCAAAAACAACUAUCUGGCAAUCAGAAAAUCUGGGCCAGGAUCAUAAACAGGAGCACCAGGUUCUGCAUUUGAUUCUGUUGAACCUGGAUGGUCGCCGUCUGUCCCGGACCUGCACACAGACACUGCUUUCUACAUACCGCCCUCGCUUACAAUGCAAGCAGUUCCCCGAGCUAUCAGCGGAAUCCCACUGCAACUCAGUCACAUUGCAAUCCCUGCUUCAACCUUCUUCAUUGCUGGGUCGAAGGGAAGCAGCGCCGUGCAGGCUGGGACAAGCAACCGUGCAUUUUUUUUUAUUACAGGAAGCAGUGAAGACUGCGAAAGAGAAGGAAGCCAGUGUUCGCCAGUAUUGCAGUGAUAGUGCCAACAAAUGCCUGGAAAUUGCUGCCGAAGAAAUUGACUAGAUCUUACCUCUGUCAGAGACCCUCCUCGUCCAACUGACGCCUUGCUCAAAACCGAUCACAUCUCUAAUGAUUUUUUUUCCCCCUGGAACUAAUGAAAGGGCCUCCAUGACCUGAAACGUUAAUUAUUUCUCUCUGACCUGAUGAGUGUUUGCAGCAUUUUCUGUUUUCAUUUCAGGUUCCAGGUGUAUUUUGCUGUUGCCGUCUCGUGUUUAAUUGUGUUCAGUUUGCACUCUAAAAUGUCUCACCCCAUUCUGCCAGUGGAGCUAGAAUAGGCGAUUUAGCCGCUGGAGCCUGCUCCGCUAUGUAAUACGGUCUUGGUUGAUCUCAUCUCAGCCCCACUUUCCUGCCCACUGCCCAUAACCCUUGUAGCCUGUGACUAAUGUGGUGCUCUCUAUGGUAGUGAAUUCCACAAUUUAGGCAUUGUCAGAUUGGCAGAUGUGAAUGAGAGUAGCCAUGGGACUCAGAACUAGAAUGGCAUGGGUCACACCAAAACCUGUCCACAGUCGGCAAGCCACUUAUCAGAAGUGUAAAGGAACACAUUCUACUUGCCUGGAUGAGUGCAGAUCCAACAAUAUUCCAGAUGUUCAAAGCCAUCCAGGACAAAGCAGCCCAUUUAAUAAGCACCCUGUCUACCCUUUUCAGCACACAACCCCUUUAUCAUUGAUGCACAGUGUUACCAUCUACACAAUGCACAACAGCAAUUCACCAAAGUUGCUUCAACAGCACCUGCCAGAUCUGAAACCUGUAUCUUCCAGAAGGUCAAGGGCAGCAGACACAUGGGAACACCACCCCUGCAAGUUUCCCUCCAAGUCACACACUAUCCUGACUUGUUACAUUGUCAUUCCUUCACUGUCACUAGAUCAAAAUCCCGGUACUGCCUUCAAAGCAGUACUGUAUGUACCUAUUCUCCUUUUGACUGCAGCAGUUCAAGAAAGUUCACCACCAUCUUCUCAAGGGGAAAUAGGGAAAAACAAUAAAUGCUGAUGUAACCAGCAAUGCUCCCGUCCCAUGAAUAAAUAAACCAGUUUGGACCUAUUAUGACCUCCGGGGACUCAUAUUUGAACCUUCCAGCCCAGUUAUAGAUACGUCAGAGUACAAGUCCAUAGAUCCUGUAAGGUGUUAGUACAGGUACAUAGGAUAGUGAAGAAGGCAUUAGGGAUGCUUGCUUACAUUUGCCAGGUUGUAGAAUAUAGACACAGAGAACUCUUGUUUAAACCUUGUUAUGCCACAGGAGGAAUACUGUGUGCAGUUCUGGUCACUGCACAUUCGGAAGCAUGUAAUUGCACAGAUGGUGCAGAGGAAAUUCACCAGGAUAUUACCUUGAAUGGAAAGUCUCAGUUAUGAGGAGAGACCUACCUCAUAUUGGAAGGCUGGGUUUGUUUUCCCUGGAAUAGAGGAGACUGAGAAUGGAUCAGAUUGGGAUAUACAAACUUAUCAUAGACACGGUAGAUCAUGAGAAUCUUUUCCCCAUGACAGGCAUAUCUGAGCCAGAGGGCAUGUUUAAUAUGACGAGUAAGUAGUGGAUCUGAGGAAAGAAUUUUCACCCAGAGUAUGGUAGAAAUAUGAAAUGUGCUGUCUGAGAGGGUAUUGGAGACAGGUACUCUCACAACAUUUAAGAAGCAUCUGGAUGUGCACUUAACACACCAGGGCAAAGUGGGCUAUGGACCAAAUGCAGGUAAAUGGGAUUAGUGUGGUAUGGUGUUUGUUGGUUGGCACUGACAUCAUGGAAGGGCCUGUUUCUAUGUAUGACUCUGUGACUCUUUGCCAAAAGACCCAUGCCCCAAAUGUUCAAGUUGUUUGUUUGUUGAUAUUUACAAUAAAAUAAACGGUGCCUUGACAUGGCAUUAUGCUAUUCAUGGCUUUAAAUUCAUAAA